UACAGGGGGGGCAAGCGUUGUUCGGAAUUACUGGGCGUAAAGGGCUCGUAGGCGGCCAACUGAGUCCGACGUGAAAUCCCAAGGCUUAACCUUGGAACUGCGUCGGAUACUGGUUGGCUUGAAUUCGGGAGAGGGAUGCAGAAUUCCAGGUGUAGCGGUGAAAUGCGUAGAUAUCUGGAGGAAUACCGGUGGCGAAGGCGGCAUCCUGGACCGACAUUGACGCUGAUGAGCGAAAGCUAGGGGAGCAAACGGG
rnacentral:rRNA from 1 species